rnacentral:siRNA from 1 species
GAGUACGAGUUAUAGGUUUCCAUA